UAUGAGCCUCUCAUCAAUCCCACACAACAGAGCAUAAGCCUGCCACAAAAAGAGAGAGAAGGAUCAAACCUUGAGAGUUUGUGAGAAUUGAAGAGUCUUGCUGCAUGAAGAGUUCGUCAUGAUUUGAAGACUGAUGAAGAACGAUGGCUAAAGAUGUGGAGCCCUCCUUUUGUGUUCCGAUUUUGAUGAGAGAGAGAGAGAGAGAGAGAGAGAGAAAAAGGUCAGACUUUUAACCUUGUUAAUAAUGCAUCUAGAACAACACUCACCGAAGAGGUCAGUAAGAAUGGAGGUCGAAGGAGACAGAGGAGUUGACGCGGUGGGAGAAGGAGACAGCGGGGCCGAGCUUGGGGCAAGUGCGGCGAGGCUGGAGAAAUAAAGAGCAGAGGGCUGAGUACUGCCAGCGGAGAUUUGGGCAGAGAGAAAAGAAGCCAUAGAGAGAAAGAGAAGGAAAAGGUCUUAAGGUUUGGCUUGUAGCUCCGGUGUGAGAGAGAGAGAGAGAGAGAGGCACGGGAGAGAGGGGAUAAGUUGAGAGAACUAGGGUUUUUUUUUUUUUAAGAACAAGGAUUCAUGAUUUAUUUUUAGAUUUUCAGUUUUAUUUUAGUAAAAAAUUAUUAUUAUGUAAAUUUUUAAUUUUUAAUUUUUUUAAAUUUUUUAGAUAAAAUAAUAUUUAUGCGGGAAAAUAAAAUUUCUUAAAAUUUUAGGCGGGAAUAAUAUUAUGUACGGUUUGGACGACUUCUUUGGACCUUAAAUAUAAAUCCUAAAUAAAUUGACUAACUAAACACUGCAUAAAAUCAAAUAAAAUUUAUAAGAGUGCUUACUAUAAUCAAAAAUAAAUUCAUAUGGGUAAAAUUUUCAUUUUUCGAAAAAGCAUUUAAGGUUUUCAAAAUCUAACCAUAAAAAUAUAUACAAUACAACAAAUAAUAUUGUCAAACCCUAGACAAAAAAUAUCAUGAUUCACUACUUUCACUCAUCUAUGUUGAAAAUAAUUCAAUUUUAAUAUAUCUUAAUUUAUAUCACUUAAAACUAUGAAUAAUUACAUGAUUUUAAUUUUUUACUUAUCAAAAUAUUCUUUACGAAAUUUAUAAAUUAUUUUAAUAUCAACUAUGUCAUAAGACUUCUUUGACAUCUAUGUACAGUUUCUCAGAAAACUUAUAAGAUUUUUUGGGGUUAUAUUCGUAAAAAUGAGUUUUGAUUUUUUUGUUUGGUCACAAAGAAAUUGAUUUAAUUUCAUAAGUCUUUUAAGUUAGUUUUGUAAUUAUUCAAAUUUGGGUAUAAUUUUAUAUUUAAAAAAAUAAAAUUUUGAGUCGCAAUCUCUUUUUUUCUUAAUGGAAGUUUCGCCGACAAACAAAGAAAAAGCAAAUAGUCUCGGUCAAAAACAGAUAUUAUCUUAUCCUGUAUAUCGUACAAGUAAAACAUAAAUCCAAACAUUCUAUGUAUAUAAAAAGUAAGCACCUAUUUACUUUCGUUAGCAAAAACAAAAGGAUGAUGAAAAUGGCUUUAACCCGUAACUGUAUUUUUCUUGUGUUCUUAUGUCUCACUGUUCUCUUGAUUCCAGGUAUGUAAUUUAAAUUAUAAAAUUGUAUUUUCUAUGCGAUAUUAUAUAAUCGUCUUAUAUAUGUUCCCGUGCAUACUAUAUACGUUUUUAUUGCUACAAUAUAUCAGAAUAAUGCAUUACAAUUUAGAGAAAGAGAUCCAUGUUUAAGGAUUUUUAUGCUUCUAAUUACUACACUAUAUUAUUUGUAAACAACAUAUAUUGCAGAAUUUGCAAAAGCUCAAGGUAAAGGGAGACCGAUCGUGAUAGGUACAUGCUAUCAGUUUCUACACUGCAAUCAGACUUGCGUUGAAUCAGAUUUCUCUGGUGGAAAAUGCGUACCUUUACCACCGGCUCGCAUUGAUUUUGUAUGUGUUUGUUAUCCAAAAUAUUGAGGAUGUUGCAUUAGUAUUAUAAUAUCCCUUAUUAUUAAAAGAAAACAUUUUUAAAUCUAAUUUUUGUUUAAUAAUUUAUCUAAAAAUAUAACAAUUUAGCUGGGUUUUCAUCGCUACAUGCCUCUUUAGCUUACAAUUUUAAUUGAUGAACAUUUACUAGACAAAUUACAAUAUAUUCCAUUAGUGCUUAUAUUAAAAAAAGAUUAUUGGAUAUGCGAAUUAUUGACCGCCAUAUAUGAUUAUCUAUGCAAAUUAAACUAAUAUAUAACUAACUACCUGAAGUAUAUGUUAAUAAUGAUAAUAUCUAGUUAACAUUCCGAGUUUAGUUUAAUGUUAAUAACCCUAAAGGUGAUGUGAAAGAAAAGGAAAAGGUCUUAAGGUUUGGCUUGUACCUCCGGGGAGAGAGAGAGAGAGAGAGAGAGAGAGAGGAGAGAGAGAGAGAGAGAGAGAGAGAGAGAGAGAGAGAGAGAGAGAGAGAGAGAGAGAGAGAGAGAGAGAGAGAGAGUUUCUUUUUCUUUUUUUUUAGAACACGGAUUCAUCAUUUAUUUUUUAGAUUUUCAGUUUUAUGUUAGUAAAAAAUAUUAUUAUUUAAAUUUUGAAAUUUUAAUUUUUUAUUUUUUGAAUAAAAUAAUCUGUAAGCGGAAAACUAAUAUUUUCUUAAAAUUUUAUGUACAGAAGACUUUCAGAAAGUCGUAUAGACCCUAAGUAUAAACCUUAAACUAAAUUAACUAACUAAACAUUUCGUAAAAUCAACUAAAACUUAAAAAAACAUUUACUAUAUACAGAAAUAAACACAUAAAAGUAAAAUUUUAAUUUUUCAAAAAAUCAUUUAAGCUUUCCAAAAUCUAAUCCUAAGAAUACAUACAAUGUUACAACAUAUGUUGUCAAACUCUAGACAAAAAAAUAUCAUGAUUCACUACUUUCACUCAUCUAUAUUGAAAACAAUUCAAUUUUAUUAUAUCUUAAUUUAUAUCACUUAGAACUCUAAAUAAUUACAUGAUUUCAAUAUUUCACUUAUCAAAAUAUUUUUUACAAAAUUUAUAAAUUAUUUUUAAGAACAACUAUACCAGAAGACUUUCAUGUACAUCGUCUAGACGACGUACAAUUUUUCAGAACAUUCAGAAGACUUUCUAGGGCUAUAUUCGUAAAAAUUAGUUUGAGUUUUUUGUUUGGUCACAAGGGACUGGUUGUAAUUUCACAAAACUUUUAUGUUAGUUUUGCAAUUCAUUCAAGUUGGAUGUAGUUUUCCAUUUAAAAUCAAGUUUUGAGUCAUAAAUCUCAAUAUCUUUUUAUGUCUGUAGGGGAUCACAUGCGGUAAGCCCAGACUAAUCCCCACAAGACUUUCCAUCCGAACACACAGUUAUAGACGAGAAGGUGGCCAAAGCGACUCGAACCGAUGGCGGACACUCCUUCUGGAGUUCCAUAAAUCCCAAAUAUUUGUGAAUUUGUUUUAUUGCAUACUUAUAGUUAAGCAUACUACAUAGUUUUUAUUGCUACAAUAUAUCGACAUAAUGUAUUAUAAGUUUAUAACUGAGGGUAAGAUAUCCAUGUCUAAAGAAUUUUUUAACGAAAUAAAUUGCAGAAUUUGCAAAAGCUCAAGGAAUAGAAAAGCCGAUCAUAAUAGGUACUAGCACAGAGGUUCCACACUGCAAACAGAAGACUUGCAUUAAAGCAAAAAUUUUUGGUGGAAACUGCGUCCCUUUACCACCGCCAUACAAUAAUUUUGUUAUCCAUAAUAAUUAUAAAUAAAUUGGUGAGGUAUUGCAUUAUGUUAAUCAAAAAGGUUGCAAUGCAUGCAAUUCAAAAUAAAACAAA